GUGCCAGCAGCCGCGGUAAGACGUAGGGGGCGAGCGUUGUCCGGAUUUAUUGGGCGUAAAGCGUGCGUAGGCGGCUGCGCAAGUCGGGUGUGAAACCCCGGGGCUCAACCCCGGAACUGCAUCCGAUACUGCGUGGCUAGAGGUAGGUAGGGGAGAUCGGAAUUCCUGGUGUAGCGGUGAAAUGCGCAGAUAUCAGGAGGAACACCGGUGGCGAAGGCGGAUCUCUGGGCCUUACCUGACGCUCAGGCACGAAAGCUAGGGGAGCGAACAGGAUUAGAUACCCCCGUAGUCC
rnacentral:rRNA from 1 species